rnacentral:rRNA from 1 species
GUUUGAUCCUGGCUCAGAUUGAACGCUGGCGGCAUGCCUUACACAUGCAAGUCGAACGGCAGCACGGAGCUUGCUCUGGUGGCGAGUGGCGAACGGGUGAGUAAUAUAUCGGAACGUACCCUGGAGUGGGGGAUAACGUAGCGAAAGUUACGCUAAUACCGCAUACGAUCUAAGGAUGAAAGUGGGGGAUUCGCAAGAACCUCAUGCUCCUGGAGCGGCCGAUAUCUGAUUAGCUAGUUGGUAGGGUAAAAGCCUACCAAGGCAUCGAUCAGUAGCUGGUCUGAGAGGACGACCAGCCACACUGGAACUGAGACACGGUCCAGACUCCUACGGGAGGCAGCAGUGGGGAAUUUUGGACAAUGGGGGCAACCCUGAUCCAGCAAUGCCGCGUGAGUGAAGAAGGCCUUCGGGUUGUAAAGCUCUUUUGUCAGGGAAGAAACGGUGUGAGCUAAUAUCUCAUGCUAAUGACGGUACCUGAAGAAUAAGCACCGGCUAACUACGUGCCAGCAGCCGCGGUAAUACGUAGGGUGCAAGCGUUAAUCGGAAUUACUGGGCGUAAAGCGUGCGCAGGCGGUUUUGUAAGACUGUCGUGAAAUCCCCGGGCUCAACCUGGGAAUGGCGAUGGUGACUGCAAGGCUAGAGUUUGGCAGAGGGGGGUAGAAUUCCACGUGUAGCAGUGAAAUGCGUAGAUAUGUGGAGGAACACCGAUGGCGAAGGCAGCCCCCUGGGUCAAAACUGACGCUCAUGCACGAAAGCGUGGGGAGCAAACAGGAUUAGAUACCCUGGUAGUCCACGCCCUAAACGAUGUCUACUAGUUGUCGGGUUUUAAUUAACUUGGUAACGCAGCUAACGCGUGAAGUAGACCGCCUGGGGAGUACGGUCGCAAGAUUAAAACUCAAGGAAUUGACGGGGACCCGCAC